GCCCAGGAGAGAGAAAGAGAGACUCCAUCGCCUGUGAUGGUCGUUUCUGUGGGGGGAAGGGGAAACUGAGGCAUCACGCAAGAGCUCUUAAUGACUUUUUGUCCCGAAUUUCACUUCUGCUCGUCUGCGCAUUGGCUAGGGAUAGUGAAGCAAUCCCACCUUCCUCCUGGAGGCAAGAGAACCGGGAUUCUGGCAGUCCUUCUGGUGAGCACCACAGACCCUGAUCCCUCAACUCUACAAGCAAAUUCUACAAGCAACUCUACAAGCGAAUCGUCUACAGCUCUGCGUUUGGAGAAGAGCCACACAAAAGAGGAGGAAGUGGAUUCUUGUAGAGGGAAUAGGAGAAGACUGGGGGAGGGGAAAGGCCAGAGAACAUACACUGUAUGGUUUCAAUGCAUGUGACCUUUGGUGAAAAGCCCACUUGCUUUGAUGUUAACAGUGACUGCCUUCAAGACUGUUAAUUUUAGCAAAUGGAUUGUGUUUGAGAGUAUCGUACAUCCUCAGAAGUCUUUUUGGCUCAUGAGUUGGGGAAGAUGGCUCAAAGUGCUUGACCCAUAAGCAUGAAGAUCUGAUCUGGAUCUCCUGUAAACAGCUGCAGCACAGGCUCGUAACCCAAGCACUGGGGAGGCAGAGACAGGAAGAUCCCUGGGAUCGGCUGGCCACCUGGUGUAGCUUAGUCAGCAAGCUCCAUAUUCAGUGAGAGACCUCGCCUCGAAAGCUAAGGUGAAGGGGGAAGAUGAAAGACAGACAGACAGACAGACACAUGUUCUGUUGUAGAACUGCCACUGCAUUCAAUACUGUCAGCCCAUGGCUUGGAGCCUGGGUCUGGUUAAAUCAAGAUUCAAUAAGCAGCCAGGAAAAUGAACAUUACAUAAACACCUGUAUAUUGUUUCUGGAAGCACAUCUGUCUCACCAGAAGUCUACGCAACUUAGAACAGUUUUCAAUGAUUCCGGAGCCCAGAAAGUUAACUGGCAAGCACGACUGAUGUCAGUGUCAGACAGAAAACAGCCUCAGACUUCCAAGGCCGAAUUGAAUACCAGCGUAACUGAUUUGCCUUUCUGACUCACCCUAGUCUUCUAAUUUCUGAAUUGUAGAACUGUAGGCAAUCAUUUGUCAUAAUUAUCGCUUUCUGUUUAUUUCUUAAAGCAACAGGUAUAUAUUAAA
rnacentral:lncRNA from 1 species